rnacentral:tmRNA from 1 species
CCCCUUGAAAUCCUGCCUGUCGAUCUCUACCUCUGAGAUGUCCUUCGGGACUAUGGACAUAAACGCGCUCGUCAUAAGCGGAUCGGACCCGGGGGCGGUACCCGGCGGCUCCACCAAUAAUCCUUCAUUUGGGGAUCAUGGGGCCGAAACAGGAUCGACGAACGUCUAAAGGGGUUAGCUUUGUCUCGGCUGUCUGCCACCGUUAUCGGCGAAAACUGUACAAUUGCGAAUGACAAUCGUGCACCAGUAGCGAUGGCCGCGUAAGCGACCGGAGUUACUGAACUCUUAAGUCCUGACGCUUUGCAGUGUUAGGCGGGGUUCGCAGGUACCUGGCAACAGAAACCUGCACC